rnacentral:rRNA from 1 species
GAUGAACGCUGGCGGCGUGCCUAAUACAUGCAAGUCGAGCGAAAAGACGAGGAGCUCGCUCCUCUGAGGUUAGCGGCGGACGGGUGAGUAAGACGUGGAUAACCUACCUCUAAGUCUUGGAGAACUUCGGGAAACCGGAUAUAAUACUGGUUAAUAUAAUGAACCGGAUGGUUCAAUAGUGCAUGACGGCUUUGGUGUCACUUAUAGGUGCAUCCGCGUCCCUUUGGCUAGGUGGCGAGGUAACGGCUAACCAAGGCUACGUUGCGUAGCCGACCUGAGAGGAUGAACAGCCACACUGGAACUAGGACACGGUCCAGACUCCUACGGGAGGCAGCAGUAGGGAAUCUUCCGCAAUGGGCGGAAGCUUGACGGAGCAACGCCGCGUGAGUGAUGAAGGUCUUCGGAUUGUAAAACUCUGUUAUUAGGGAAGAAAAACUGUGUGAUUAACUACGCGCGUCUUGACGGUACCUAAUGAAGAAGCACCGGCUAACUACGUG